AAAUUAUUCAAGUUUGUAUUAAUGACUUGGUCACCCAUGGUCACUCAACAUAUUAUUACUUUCACCACAGUAACUGUUUUGCACAAAAAGUUGCAAAAAUUUAUAUUUGUUUCUAUAAGGUCAUUCAAGCUACAUUCUUGUUAAUGGUUGCUGGAAAUGUUGAUCUGACUUACCAACCUGUCAGAAAUGUCUAAUGACAUCACUUGAGAAUGAAGAGAGUGAGAUAGCGAAUUUGAGUUUUAAGGGAUCCACGUUUGCAUCUUAUAGUUGCGAUAAGCUAGUUUUUCUAGAUUUCCAUAUAAUAUUUUCAGUAAACUUAUCAGAAAGUGUCCUUGUGACCUUACAAAAUGAAAAGUAAAGUUCAGUAAAUUUUGCACUAUAAAUUGAAGUAAGUGAUGAGUGAAAUUUAACCCAAAAGGUUUAGAUUGAUAGAGAUGUUUGAAGAAAAAUAAUUGCCCCACCCCCACCUCUCUUUCUCUCGUCAUUUUCCUUGAACUCUUUAGAUAUAGACGGUGGACCAAUAUCUUCAAAACUAAAGGCAGGAAUGACAAUUAUUGAUCUAAUGAAUGAGUUUAUAUAACUUGUUAAAGUUUGAAAAGUCCUAUGAAAAUGUGCUGAAUUUGCUUCUCAUUUGUUGUUUUACUGGCAUAUCAGUGUAGGUGGUUUUGAAGGCAUUGCUAGAUUUAAAUGAUAUUAAUGGAAUCAUACUACUUUUAGCAAGGUUCUUUGUGGCUUCAGGUGAUCUUACGGUACUCUUAGCAAGGUUCUUUUUGCCUUUGGGGUGAUAGGUGCUGAUGGAAAUUACUCAACGUUCCUGUGGUUGUUUUGAAGUGUAUACAUAGAGAGUACAUGAAUACCUUGAAUUACUUGUCCAGUGAAGCUUUCUCCUCUAUUCCGCAAGAUUUAGUUCCUGACCUGCAGAGGAUGAUCUC
rnacentral:misc_RNA from 1 species